GACGAACGCUGGCGGCGUGCUUAACACAUGCAAGUCGAACGAUGAAGCCGGAGCUUGCUCUGGUGAAUUAGUGGCGAACGGGUGAGUAACACGUGAGUAACCCGCCCUUGACUCUGGGAUAACUGCUAGAAAUGGUAGCUAAUACCGGAUACGACCCUCGGCGGCAUCGCCAGGGGGUGGAAAGAAUUUCGGUCAAGGAUGGACUCGCGGCCUAUCAGCUAGUUGGUGAGGUAACGGCUCACCAAGGCGACGACGGGUAGCCGGCCUGAGAGGGUGACCGGCCACACUGGGACUGAGACACGGCCCAGACUCCUACGGGAGGCAGCAGUGGGGAAUAUUGCACAAUGGGCGCAAGCCUGAUGCAGCAACGCCGCGUGAGGGAUGACGGCCUUCGGGUUGUAAACCUCUUUUAGUAGGGAAGAAGCGAAAGUGACGGUACCUGCAGAAAAAGCACCGGCUAACUACGUGCCAGCCGCCGCGGUAA
rnacentral:rRNA from 1 species